UAUAUACUCCCUCUGUUCAAUAAAAGAUGUCUUAAAUUUGACUUAAUUUGAAUGCAUUUAUACACUAAGUCAUGUCUAGAUACAUUUAAAUUUGACAAACUUGAAAACAUUUUUUGUUGGACAGAGAGUAUGUU
rfam:Brachypodium distachyon strain Bd21 chromosome 3, whole genome shotgun sequence.